CUCUCGUACGCGCGACACCGUCAAUGACCCCACGGCCCCUCUUUCUCCUCUUCGCUAUUUCGUCUGAGGGCACGCGGAAUCCGCUGUGACACGUUACGGCUUCCGCGUUCACGAAUACUGCAUUAGGAAGCAAAGAAUAAGGUACAAGGGUUUUAUGCGUAUACGUAUAUAUAUGAUAUAUUUACAGUGAUACACUGAGAGGAUAAACGCUAAUAUAAACGGAAAUUAAAUUACUUUUGUGCAACAAUUUGUGCAACUGAGAGCUCUGCAUGAAUCCAACGAUGAAAAGACUCACGUCGUCACGUACAAUGAAACUUGACAUGGACACGAGGUUGAAAAUAAACAGAAAAAGACAAUUAUAAACAGACAAAAAGCAUUAUCCCAAGUAUUGUUUUCAAAGAACGAAAUUAAGAGGCUGCGAGAGUGCGAGAGAGAAAGCAGGUGACGAAAUAGUAAUAACGGAAUUAUCCUCGAAUCACGCUUUUAAAGAAAAAGAAAGUACAGUGUUCCGCUGUGUUUACGGCGUAUCAGCGUCAGUUCCAGCAAAAACAAUUUUGAUCGGUUCGGUCAUGUAGAAAAUGAGAUUACUUUCGAAAUAAUGUCGAAGUUGCGGAGUCGUGAAGCCUGUUACGACAAAGCGCCUCUGUGUGUCAUCCUAACCAAACCGCUAGGUCCGGCACCCAGUUUCUUCGAAACGCCAUUUUUUCGUCGUCUCCAAGGCUCUCUUCGCAACAAACAUUUUUGUGAUUGCGAAAAAACGAAAUUUUGCAUAUUCGAAGGAUUCGACGCGUGUGAUAUUUUUUUUAAUACUUCGCUUCCGAAAAAAAUCAGUUGAAAUAAAAGUGACAGGCUGAGAAAUGCACGGAUGCAUAUGACAAUAUAAUUAUGUAAACGUUUCGAAUUUUCACGAAGGAAUUGUUGAAACCUUAUUAAAUGUGACACACAUUUCGAUGUGAAAUAUAACCCGUGUGCACGAAAAAUGAGGUUAGCAAAAUAAUGUCUAUUGGGCUGCUCACGUAUAAACCCUAACAGAAAAAUGGAACAUACAUUUUUUUUCUGCAGGCCAUCAG